rnacentral:rRNA from 1 species
GAUGAACGCUGGCGGCGUGCCUAAUACAUGCAAGUCGAGCGAACGGACGAGAAGCUUGCUUCUCUGAUGUUAGCGGCGGACGGGUGAGUAACACGUGGAUAACCUACCUAUAAGACUGGGAUAACUUCGGGAAACCGGAGCUAAUACCGGAUAAUAUUUUGAACCGCAUGGUUCAAAAGUGAAAGACGGUCUUGCUGUCACUUAUAGAUGGAUCCGCGCUGCAUUAGCUAGUUGGUAAGGUAACGGCUUACCAAGGCAACGAUGCAUAGCCGACCUGAGAGGGUGAUCGGCCACACUGGAACUGAGACACGGUCCAGACUCCUACGGGAGGCAGCAGUAGGGAAUCUUCCGCAAAGGGCGAAAGCCUGGCGGAGCAACGCCGCGUGAGUGAUGAAGGUCUUCGGAUCGUAAAACUCUGUUAUUAGGGAAGAACAUAUGUGUAAGUAACUGUGCACAUCUUGACGGUACCUAAUCAGAAAGCCACGGCUAACUACGUG